rnacentral:rRNA from 1 species
UACGUAGGGGGCGAGCGUUGUCCGGAAUCAUUGGGCGUAAAGCGCGUGUAGGCGGUCCGGUAAGUCCGCUGUGAAAGUCGGGGGCUCAACCCUCGGAUGCCGGUGGAUACUGCCGGACUAGAGUUCGGAAGAGGCGAGUGGAAUUCCCGGUGUAGCGGUGAAAUGCGCAGAUAUCAGGAGGAACACCGAUGGCGAAGGCAGCUCGCUGGGACGGUACUGACGCUGAGGCGCGAAAGCGUGGGGAGCGAACAGG